ACCGAGCGCCUUGGGCCUUCCUCAGCAUGGUGGUUUUGUUUUAAAAGUCCAAGGACGCGCCUGCUUCUGGCUAUCUGGGGCAACGGUACGGCCGCUCCAGGCCUUGUUUUUGUUUAGGAGGCUGCCUCACCGCGUUGCUCUGGCUAGCCUGAAACCUGAAACUCGCUUCGAACUCUGAGAUCCUCCUUCUCCACAACACCUGGCCCCAGGCCCACCUUUAAAACAGUUGUUUAGCUUCGAUCCUAACCUUGUGCAAUGCCAUACACCUCUCCUUCGCGAUUUGAAAAAUAGCAUGAGUGUAAAAGUUUUUGCACACACGGUUAGAUUCUAAGAAGCAGUGGCCAUUUGAUCUUACAAGCCCUGGGUUAUAGGUUUUCUUUGCCUAUGUAUAGUUUGGGUUUGGCUUGGGAAGGUGCCGGUAUUCCUCUAUGCAGCCUGUAGUGCUGUUAGAUGCCUCCUGAUCACUGUAUUCUGUAGACAGCAUUUCUGUACCAUUUGGUUAUUUCCCCUGCACCUCUCUUAUUGGAAAUACUUCAAGAUGAAUAGAUUAAAUGUUUGCAGUAGGUUUGUUGGCUUUUAGAAGGAUGACUCCAGCUUUGAGAAUUCUGCCCAGAAUCUUCUAUCUGGUGGGACGUGUUUUAAACACAUUUCCCUGCCCUCCUCACCUUGCAAUGUAGGAAAAGCACUCCACUUGGAAUGUUAUGGUGCCUUUGCACACCCUGGAGCUGAGAGGGGCCUCUGGUGAAAUCCUCUUAACUCCAUGAUGGUUUCCUUAUUUUAUAGGACAGGCACAGAAUCCUUUCUGCUUCAGACCAACUGAGCCUGGAGAAAACUGCAGCAUGUGAGCCUGGGAAGCCACUCUCCCCCAAAGCAAGACUGCCUCUGCCAAGAUUCUCUGAUGCGCUGAAGAAGAUGGAGGGAGAAGGAUCCAAUGGACAAGUAUGCCAGCCUCAUUUCCACCCACUCUCCUUGUGACUGGAGAAAGGAAGUUCUCGCUGCGACUCUACUCACUGUGGGGCCUGUGAGUGGGCUUGCAUGAAUGCUCGAUGUGCACCUGUCUUCCCCCAACCUGUGAGAAGCUGCAGUGAUCUUCCUGUGGCAGAAGAGGAUGCCCGAGUGCCCAGCUACUCAAUUGCAGUGAGCAUCAGGAGGAAUCCAGCCCCUCCCGGCUUUGUGUAAAAACCAUCUAGCAUAAAGAGCCACAUCCAGCAGGAAUUGGCUUUGCCCAGGUGUACAAAGCAUCUCUCAGACCACCUUCUAAUGACUCGC